rnacentral:rRNA from 1 species
GACGAACGCUGGCGGCGUGCUUAACACAUGCAAGUCGAACGGAAAGGCCCUGCUUGCAGGGUACUCGAGUGGCGAACGGGUGAGUAACACGUGGGUGAUCUGCCCUGCACUUCGGGAUAAGCCUGGGAAACUGGGUCUAAUACCGGAUAGGAGCCAUUUUUAGUGUGAUGGUUGGAAAGUUUUUUCGGUGUAGGAUGAGCUCGCGGCCUAUCAGCUUGUUGGUGGGGUAAUGGCCUACCAAGGCGGCGACGGGUAGCCGGCCUGAGAGUGUGGACGGCCACAUUGGGACUGAGAUACGGCCCAGACUCCUACGGGAGGCAGCAGUGGGGAAUAUUGCACAAUGGGCGCAAGCCUGAUGCAGCGACGCCGCGUGGGGGAUGACGGCCUUCGGGUUGUAAACUCCUUUCGCUAGGGACGAAGCUUUUUGUGACGGUACCUAGAUAAGAAGCACCGGCUAACUACGUG